UACGUAGGGGGCGAGCGUUGUCCGGAUUUAUUGGGCGUAAAGAGCGUGUAGGCGGCCAGGUAGGUCUGCUGUGAAAACUCGAGGCUCAACCUCGAGACGUCGGCGGAAACCAUCUGGCUAGAGUCCGGAAGAGGAGAGUGGAAUUCCUGGUGUAGCGGUGAAAUGCGCAGAUAUCGAGGAAGAACCAGCCCGUGGCGAAGGCGG
rnacentral:rRNA from 1 species